rnacentral:rRNA from 1 species
CACGUAGGCGGGAACUUAAGUCAGGUGUGAAAGACCGAGGCUCAACCUCGGGUGUGCACUUGAAACUGGGUUUCUUGAGGGCAGGAGAGGAAAGCAGAAUUCCUGGUGUAGCGGUGAAAUGCGUAGAAAUCAGGAGGAAUACCAGUGGCGAAGGCGGCUUUCUGGACUGACCCUGACGCUGAGGUGCGAAAGCGUGGGUAGCAAACA